UACGUAGGGGGGCAAGCGUUGUCCGGAAUUAUUGGGCGUAAAGAGCGCGUAGGCGGUCCGAUAAGUCGGCUGUGAAAGUCAGGGGCUCAACCCUUGGAAGCCGGCCGAUACUGUCGGACUAGAGUCCGGAAGAGGCGAGUGGAAUUCCCGGUGUAGCGGUGAAAUGCGCAGAUAUCGGGGAGGAACACCAAUGGCGAAGGCAGCUCGCUGGGACGGUACUGACGCUGAGGCGCGAAAGCGUGGGGAGCA
rnacentral:rRNA from 1 species